AUGCUCGUGUGGAAAGAUGUUCGCAGUGCAUUGUUUAGAAAAAGGAAAAAACCAGUUAUCCUACAAAAUAGUCGUGUUUGUACCACGAUGUACAAGGAAGACUCAUCUCUAGGAACCUGGGUCUCUGCGUACAGAAUCCAGACAAGCGCAUCCCCUGUAAAGGGUAUCCAGGAAAUUGGAGGCACAAAUAAAGGCAACCUGUGCUGAGAAGCCCCGCGGAGCAGGAAAAGCCCCUAUUCCUCCAGGCCCCGUGGUAGAGCUUGUGUAUUCUAGAGAUAGGUUCUCUCUUCUUUUAAUCUGUUCUUAAAACACCCCCGUGAAGUCUCCUGUCCUGAGUUAAGCUUCAUCCGUGAUUCAUGGUGGUCGCCUUUCUCUGCAAAUGUUGACGUCGGCAUCCACGUCUGCUGCUACCUCUGGACUCAACCCCACCCAUACCCCACCUCAUCCCACCUCACCCCACCUUACCCCACCCCAUCCCAUCCCACCACACACAGACACCUGGGCCUGGGCCGACCCCUAGGAGGCACCAAAGCAGGUAACGGAGGGGCCUGGGGUACAGCCCCCAGAAAUCGGGCUGUGUAACGCACCGGGACGGCGGGUUCUCAGACAUCCGGCGGAGACCUGCCCCUUUCCCGACCUCCACCCCAGAGCAUCGGGUCUCAUCUAGAUCAAACGCCCUUCGGGAGGGAGUCCCUGACUCCGGGGGCCCCUGCGCUUCGUUCUCUGCAGCCCCGCAUCUCCUCUUGGCCAGCCUGAGGUCGGUCCUCGGAUCCCACCGCCUCCGAGAGGCCGGGGUCCCGCGCCGGAGCCCGCUGAGCCCCGGCAUUUCGGGGACAGGGUCCGGCGGGGCGGGGCCUGAGGCUGUGGCCCGCGGCCUGAGUUUUCCACCGCCCACGCCGCAGGCGGGAGGUGCACCGAGCCCAGGGUCGCCGCCGCCGCACACCGCAGGACCGCCUGGCACAGGAUGGGGGAGGAGGCAGGGGGCCCACGGCCAUUAGGGGGGUGCGCAGCCAGACGAGCCGGGCAAACUGACUCCGGACUCGGGGAACGGAGGGGAAGGUCCCGCGAUCAAACCACCCCAGCUGCCGAGCCCACGGAAGGCCGGAACCCAUUCACGCAAAGAUGAGCUUUUAGAAAGAAAACUGAAAUAGUACUAGCAGCCAGAGCGGCAGGGAAGGGGGGCGGGGGCUUGUCUGUAAAUCAGGCUUUCGCGCGGGGACUCAGAUUUUUGCAAUAAGCACUUAAUUAAAAAUAAAAUAGAUUGAAGCAGU